CUAAGGCUUAGGAACGAGAAACAGAGACACAACGCGAGCGAUCAGCGAUGUCCAUCAAAGCUCAAAGGCAUUAUUUGUUACGCAUUAAUUCGCCGUUCCCGCGGACCCCUCCAUGAUCUCCCUCGCUUUUCUUUCACCCUUUUCGAUUUGGAUUUAAGUUUGGAGCCAAAAGACGAACAAGAAAAAAUUUGCUAAGAUGCCACGUUACUUGUAUUUUAUAAAAGUUAUUAAAUAAAUAUAAUAGGAUAUAUAAAAAAAAACACGUUAUUGUUCCCUUCGACCCAGAGGCAGUUGGAGCUUGCCGCACAGAUCCCCUAAUCCUUUAACUGCUCGAAUUUCGCCUCUCCAUUCCCGUCUUGUCACUCAAGGUGCUGCUGGAUUUUCACCCGCUUAAUUCGUCGAGUUUCCUGCUUGAUUUUUUUUUUCGCUUCGGAGAUUAGUUUUGUUUUCUCACUGGUCUUUGUGCAUUAGUCCGCUAACAAAGAUUGGGUUCUCUCUCUCGAAUUCCUCUGACCUUCGGUUCGUUUUUCCAAUUUAGGGUUUCGCGGGCGUAAUUAGGGGUUUUACUGGGGUUUCUGUUUGAUUUGGAAGAUAAAAUUUGCUCCCUUUCUUACUGGAGUGGACUACCAUGAAAGGAGAAACGGAAUCGAUAAUGUGGAGUUUCGUUUUCUCCUAAUUCCGUGGCCGGGUUCGAGGGUUUCGUUGUGAAAUUAGGGUUUCUCUCUGUCUUAAGAGAGAAAUUUCGUUUCUUAUUGCGUUGUUCCUGCAAUUAGGGAGGAUGAUAAUCAAACGGAACUUGAAAACGAAAAUGCCCAAUCUCAAGCGGUGCAGAGCCGAGAAGCUAGGUUACGAGGAAGACGAGACCUUAAGGAACGCAAAGAAGCGGAAGGAGAACGAGUACUACCCUCUUGAUCUACUCGGAGAGGUCGCCGCCGGGAUACUCCCUUUCACCGGUUACGGUCUCCAGAGAGGGUUCCGGGAUGACGGCGAGGAGUUCAGUAGCGUUGCGGCUUCAUGGUGUACCGAAUUGUCUUCUUACCCCGCGGAGGCGGAGUCGGUGUCCAAGAGACGAGACGGUUUGAAUGCGAAGAUUCAGAAUGCAGAGGCUUUUCGACCACCACUCGUCAAGACGUCUCGAGGACGCGUUCAGGUGCUCCCUUCUCGCUUCAAUGAUUCUGUUCUUCAUCCGUGGAAGAAAGAGAAGACCAAAUCGAGUGUCCUAGAAACUGGUUUCGACACCGAAGCUGCAGUCCCUAAGAAUGAUAAAUUUAGCUUUAAAAGCCUAAAAUUUGACACCCGGCUUAAUAAGAAACAACGCAAGCAGGAUAAGUUCGGCCACUAUAGCACUAAGUACACUCGGUUGUUCGCAGAAGAAUGCCAAGAAGAAGAAGAUGAAGAAGAAGAAGAGGAAGAAGAAGAAGAAGUAGAAGAAGAAGAAGAGGAAGAAGAAGAGAUGGGUUAUUCGGUGUCGAAGAACUUCGAUAUUAGAAAGAAUCCUAGCUCGCGGAGUUCUCUUACCUCUCUUCACGAGGCUCCCGUUGAAGUUGAGAGGUUUCCAGCCUUGGAAGAACUUAAGGAGCUUGAAUUGACAGGCGAAUAUAAACCAACUAAGGAGAACAGCGAGAAACGAAAGGGUUUCUAUAGACCGGAGGACUUUGUUUUGGGUGACAUUGUUUGGGCAAAAUCUGGGAAGAGGUAUCCUGCUUGGCCUGCUAUCGUUAUUGAUCCAAUGUCGCAAGCUCCUGAAACGGUUUUGAAUUCUUGUGUUGCGGGAGCCAUUUGUGUAAUGUUCUUCGGCUACUCCAGAAAUAGGAAAGAAAGGGAGUAUGCAUGGGUGAAACAUGGGAUGAUUUUUCCAUUUAUAGAUUAUUUGGACAGAUUUCAGGGGCAGACCCAAUUGUACAAAAGCAAACCCAGUGAUUUUCGGAUGGCUAUAGAAGAGGCAUUUUUAGCAGAACAUGGUUUUAUGGAAGUGCCUGCGGAGGAUAUGAAUGUGGUGGCUGGACAACCAACUUAUGAUCAAUCUAUUCCUAGAGGGGUUCAAGAGGCUACUGGUUCAAACGAGGAUCAAGAGUGCUACUCCCUGGACCAGGAUGCAUUUGAGGAGAAGAAAGGUGCACGGCCCUGUGAUGGCUGUGGGUUGAGUAUAACCUUUAAAGCUAUGAAGAAAUUGAAGGGAUCAACUCCUAAAGGCCAAUUUUUAUGUAAACAUUGUGCUAGGUUAUUAAAAUCAAAACAGUAUUGUGGCAUAUGCAAGAAAAUUUGGCAUCAUUCUGAUGGUGGGAGUUGGGUACGUUGUGAUGGAUGUAAAGUAUGGGUUCAUGCGGAGUGUGACAAAAUCACCAGCAAUGUUUUCAAGGAUCUGGAAGACACUGAUUAUUACUGCCCCGACUGCAAAGCAAAAUUUAACUUUGAACUAUCAGAUUCAGAAAAAUGUCAGCAAAAGAAUAAAUCUAACAAAAGUACUGAGCAAUUUGUGAUGCCGGACAAAAUAGAUGUUAUGUGCUGUGGCGUGGAUGGGACAUAUUUUCCAAGUCUUCAUUUAGUUGUUUGUAAUUGUGGGUCAUGUGGGAAGGAAAAGCGAUCUCUUAGUGAUUGGGAGCGACAUACAGGUUCCAAAAAGAAAAAUUGGAAGACAAGUGUUAAAGUCAAAGGUUUAAUGCUACCAUUGGAACAAUGGAUGUUCCAAAUGGCAGAGUAUCAUGAGCGUUCUCUUGUUUCUGUAAAUCCUUUUAAACGGUCUUCUCCAAAGUUAAGGAAACAGAAACUGCUAGAUUUCUUGCAAGAGAAGUAUGAGCCCGUAUUUGCAAAGUGGACAACAGAACGAUGUGCUAUCUGUCGAUGGGUUGAAGAUUGGGAAUACAAUAAAAUAAUUAUCUGCAAUAGAUGUCAAAUUGCAGUCCACCAAGAAUGCUAUGGAGCAAGAAAUGUUUGUGAUUUCACUUCGUGGGUUUGUAGAGCAUGUGAAACACCCGAGGUCAAACGGGAAUGUUGCCUUUGUCCUGUAAAAGGUGGUGCUCUGAAGCCAACUGAUGUUGAUUCGUUGUGGGUUCAUGUCACAUGCGCUUGGUUUCAACCUGAAGUUUCUUUCUCUAGUGAUGAGAAAAUGGAACCUGCUGUUGGGAUCUUGAGAAUUCCAUCAAAUUCUUUUGUAAAGGUCUGUGUGAUUUGCAAGCAAAUGCAUGGUUCCUGCACUCAGUGUUGCAAGUGUUCUACUUAUUAUCAUGCAAUGUGUGCAUCGAGGGCAGGGUAUCGCAUGGAGUUGCAUUGCUUGGAGAAAAGUGGGAGGCAAAUUACAAGAAUGGUCUCAUAUUGUGCUUACCACAGGGCCCCAAACCCAGAUACUGUUCUAGUCAUACAAACUCCAAUAGGGGUUUUCUCUGCCAAAAACCUGCUUAAAAAUAAGAAGCAGAAUGCUUCAAGGCUUAUUUCGUCUAAGAGAGCAAACCUUCAAGAAGAUUCAACCUCAGAGGCUGAUCAGUUUGAGCCAUCAUCUGCUGCAAGGUGCCGGGUAUAUAAAAGAUCAAAAAAUAAGCGUAUGGGAGAAGAAGCAAUUGCCCAUCGUGUAAAGGGGCCCUGCCAUCAUCCUUUAGAUGCAAUAGAAUGCCUGAACACAUUUAGGGAAGAUAAGGAUGUUAAAUCUUUUUCCACAUUCAGGGAACGCCUUUAUCACUUGCAGAGAACCGAAAAUGAUAGGGUUUGCUUUGGUAGAUCUGGUAUACAUGGAUGGGGUCUUUUUGCACAUCGAAAUAUUCAAGAGGGAGAAAUGGUUAUUGAGUAUCGUGGUGAACAAGUCAGGCGUAGUGUUGCAGAUCUGAGGGAGGCACGUUAUCGAUUGGAGGGAAAAGAUUGCUAUCUAUUUAAGAUCAGUGAAGAGGUGGUGGUUGAUGCCACAGACAAGGGGAAUAUAGCACGCUUGAUUAACCAUUCUUGCAUGCCAAACUGCUAUGCAAGGAUAAUGAGUGUGGGUGAUGAUCAGAGCCGGAUUGUACUCAUUGCUAAGAACAAUGUUUCUGCUGGGGAUGAGCUAACGUAUGAUUACUUGUUUGAUCCUGAUGAAUGUGAUGAGUUCAAGGUCCCCUGCCUGUGUAAAGCACCCAACUGCAGGGAAUUUAUGAACUAGGUUACACGCGAUUCCCAUUGUUUCUCCACCUGGGGCACUAACCCAUCUCCCCUUGUGAGAGAGAUCUCAUAAUUUUACUUGCCAAGUUUGUAUCUUCGCCGCCAAUUGUUUCCAAAGCUCAAUAAGGGCUCAACGUUUUCUGGUGCUGUUCGGUAUUUUGCCUGUCCCAGUUUGUGAGCGGUGGCGGUGCCCAGUGAACCACCCAACCAGUCGCAACCUCCGAGAUCUCUCUCUCUCACACACGCACGCACACAAAGAGGAGAGGGUGCAAUCCUGGGUUGUUACAGUCUCGUCCGGAGGUCACUGUACUACGGCGGACACACAAGUACCGACUGCCGAUCUCCAUUAACAGAGUCAAUAGACAGCGUCUCUGAAACGAAUCGGGAUUUGCUCCUCACAACUCCCUCUGAAACUCUCUGUUUUCAAUACAAGCAACUUCUCCUAAAUCCCCCAGAAGCGUACGGUCUCCUCGUCACAAUACUUCCGUCCCUUAAAAGAACCAAGCUCUCAUGGGUCCACUCCAUAUUGUACUUGUAGACUUCAUCUCCCUGAGCAGCAAAAUCGAAGCCUUCCAUUAGAAGCACAGAAUGUAGACGUGAAAUUUCAUAUACCACAAAUGAAAAAAGGGCUUCGGUUUAGCCACUUCAUCUGUUAUCAAUCUGCCCCUUGAGUCAGGUGGAGUUGGAGAUGGGAAAAGAAUAUCUGGUCAAUGGUUUCGUUAAUGGCAUUCAAGAGCAAACCAUUGAGUACUAAUGUUUUGUCUAUUCAUUUAAUUAAUUGUCGAUGCAAGGCAGGUUCAGUUGCGAACCAAAAUUCAAUUUGAAAAUGUCAACAUGGGCAGACCUUUCUUUUUUUUUUUUUUUUUUCUUUUUCUUUUUAAUAGUAACAGUAACAUGAGUGACGUUGUUUUAAUAUCCAUGGCUGAGAAAAGAGCAAAUGUUGAAUUCUGUA